rnacentral:rRNA from 1 species
CAGUCGCCACGGGAAUACGAAGGGGGCUAGCGUUGUUCAGAUUAACUGGGCGUAAAGGGCGCGUAGGCGGGUUUUUAAGUCAGAGGUGAAAUCCCAAGGCUCAACCUUGGAACUGCCUUUGAUACUGGAAGUCUUGAGUCGGGAAGAGGGUCGUGGAAUUCCCAGUGUAGAGGUGAAAUUCGUAGAUAUUGGGAAGAACACCAGUGGCGAAGGCGGCUCACUGGCCCGGUACUGACGCUGAGGCGCGAAAGCGUGGGGAGCAAACAGGAUUAGAUACCCCGGUAGUCCCUGUCUCUUAUAC